GAUGAACGCUAGCGGCAAGCUUAACACAUGCAAGUCGAACGGUAACUCUUAGUGCUUGCACUAAAAGACGAGUGGCGGACGGGUGCGUAACGCGUAUGCAAUCUACCUUUUACUAGGGAAUAGCCCAGAGAAAUUUGGAUUAAUCCCCUAUAAUAUCAAAAAUUCGCAUGAUUUUUUGAUUAAAGUUUCGACGGUAAAAGAUGAGCAUGCGUCCUAUUAGUUUGUAGGUGAGGUAAUGGCUCACCUAGACUACGAUAGGUAGGGGCCCUGAGAGGGGGAUCCCCCACACUGGUACUGAGACACGGACCAGACUCCUACGGGAGGCAGCAGUGAGGAAUAUUGGACAAUGGACGAAAGUCUGAUCCAGCUAUGCCGCGUGCAGGAUGACAGCCC
rnacentral:rRNA from 1 species